GAUAAGCUGAAAAAAGAGAAAGUGUAAAAAAAAACUUUAACCAAGGUGGGGACACGGAAAGACGCCGACGCCGGGUCGAGUAGGAUAGCUCUCCUUAUACUUCGUAUAGUCGAGCUAAAAAUCCAAAUAACUUUAAAAGCUGAAACCUCUACAAUGAAAGUCAGACCAUCACCGUAAAUUUUCAAUCGGUUCCUACAAGUGGUUACUUACAUACAAAAUACAUACCAUCGAGACGCGGACGAAGGCACCGACGAAUGGAUCAGUGCAAUAGCUCUACCUAUUCUUUGAAUAGUCGACUAAAAAUGAGAACCAUUUUUACCAAAAAAGACUAUGUAUGUCAUUAUCAUGGUUAAAUUUCCUACUUUACUUAUUUUGCAUAAUUACAAAAAUAUCAAGUUCAUAUUAUAAUAUAUAUAAAACAAUUUUAUAGCACUUUAAUGCACCAGUCACAAAUUAAUAAA
rnacentral:lncRNA from 1 species